AUUGAACGCUGGCGGCAGGCCUAACACAUGCAAGUCGAACGGUAACAGGAAGCAGCUUGCUGCUUUGCUGACGAGUGGCGGACGGGUGAGUAAUGUCUGGGAAACUGCCUGAUGGAGGGGGAUAACUACUGGAAACGGUAGCUAAUACCGCAUAACGUCGCAAGACCAAAGAGGGGGACCUUCGGGCCUCUUGCCAUCGGAUGUGCCCAGAUGGGAUUAGCUAGUAGGUGGGGUAACGGCUCACCUAGGCGACGAUCCCUAGCUGGUCUGAGAGGAUGACCAGCCACACUGGAACUGAGACACGGUCCAGACUCCUACGGGAGGCAGCAGUGGGGAAUAUUUCACAAUGGGCGCAAGCCUGAUGCAGCCAUGCCGCGUGUAUGAAGAAGGCCUUCGGGUUGUAAAGUACUUUCAGCGGGGAGGAAGGGAGUAAAGUUAAUACCUUUGCUCAUUGACGUUACCCGCAGAAGAAGCACCGGCUAACUCCGUG
rnacentral:rRNA from 1 species